GUGGCGUAGAGGGUUAAGCGCCCGCCAGCCGUCGUCGUUGGAGGAGAGGUAUGGGUUCGACUUCCGGCAGCCUACCCAGAACACUGCAGCUUCAUCGUUCUUUUUUGAGUAAGACGAGCGCAAUCGAAGAAGUAAGUGGAUUCCUCAGCGACAUUCCUUGUUUCUUUGGAGACUCUCUUCUAGAGGAUACAACACAGCGGCAGCUCUUCUUCGGUCACUCAACCGAAGAGGUAAAAAAAAAACAGCGGAAGAUGGACAAAGGGAAACAACCAAGAGUUGUCCAUUAACGUGCAGUCCUCAAGUAUGGCUGCGGUACACGACAUCAUGCCUGUACACGUGUAUCUGCAAGCUAGGACCAAGAGAAGCGAUUUGGGAACCUUACUUUUGUGCUUGCCAGUGACAAAUGGUUCCAAAAGCACAGUCGAGUUGAGUUAACAUAUCGAGACGCAACACGCUUGCACACUGCGGGCGGUUUCUUCAGAAGGGAUUUAGUAUCAGUGGCGACCCGGUUGCCCACGCACCUCCACUGGAACAGUGCAACUAAAUAUGACGUUUGGUCUGCUUAAUGGCUUAUUUACCCUGGGUGUGCCGUAUGCGACAACAGUGAAUACAACCUGCGUCGAGCUAUCGGAGCUCAAAAGGGACGCAGCCACAUGGGUGGGGGAAACGAAGCCGACCCGAGGUGCAGAAGAAGAGCCGUUUCGCUCAGAGCUCAACGUACCGCCCCAAAAAGAAGAACUUCCUUGUGGCACGAUGCCUCAACUGCUUGUUCAUUAGUCUUGAUUCUAACGUGCACUCCGCUGUGGCUGCCGCAUUCGUGCACAAUUACUUGAGCGUGCGAGGCAGCAGGCUGGGUCACGGCCGACGGUCGUGAAAGAGUAUACUGCUGGUCGGGCGAGCUGAAACCUUCGCAGACAGCGGUGACAAACUUCGGUCAUUAAUAACGGUAACCAAAGUUUUGUGCCACUUCUGACUCCCGUGGUAUAAACCGAAAAAA